rnacentral:rRNA from 1 species
UACAGAGGGUGCGAGCGUUAAUCGGAAUUACUGGGCGUAAAGGGCGUGUAGGUGGUUAUGUAAGUUUGAUGUGAAAGCCCCGGGCUUAACCUGGGACUGCGUUGAAAACUACAAGACUAGAGUUGGACAGAGGGUGGUGGAAUUUCCGGUGUAGCGGUGAAAUGCGUAGAGAUCGGAAAGAACAUCCGUGGCGAAGGCGGCCAACCUGGGUCCAAACUGACACUGAGGCGCGAAAGCGUGGGGAGCAAACAGG